GACGAACGCUGGCGGCGUGCCUAAUACAUGCCAGUAGAACGCUGAAGGAGGAGCUUGCUUCUCUGGAUGAGUUGCGAACGGGUGAGUAACGCGUAGGUAACCUGCCUGGUAGCGGGGGAUAACUAUUGGAAACGAUAGCUAAUACCGCAUAAUAGCAGUUGUUGCAUGACAACUGUUUGAAAGGUGCAAAUGCAUCACUACCAGAUGGACCUGCGUUGUAUUAGCUAGUUGGUGGGGUAAAGGCUCACCAAGGCGACGAUACAUAGCCGACCUGAGAGGGUGAUCGGCCACACUGGGACUGAGACACGGCCCAGACUCCUACGGGAGGCAGCAGGAGGGAAUCUUCGGCAAUGGACGGAAGUCUGACCGAGCAACGCCGCGUGAGUGAAGAAGGGUUUCGGAUCGUAAAGCUCUGUUGUAAGAGAAGAACGAGUGUGAGAGUGGAAAGUUCACACUGUGACGGUAUCUUACCAGAAAGGGACGGCUAACUACGUG
rnacentral:rRNA from 1 species